rnacentral:tRNA from 1 species
UAAGAGCAAAAUCCGUCACUGGUUCAAGUCCCUCUAUCCCCAA